rnacentral:tRNA from 1 species
AGCAGAGUAGAGCAAUGGCAGCUCAUCUGGUUCAUACCCAGAAUUGGUGAUGGUUCGAGUCCAUCCUCUGCAA